UAACACAAGACUUGUAAGGAGGGUCUCUUUUCAAGAAGGCAGCUGUUUUUCCUCAUUCUUUCAAUUAAUUAGGAUGUGAGCUUCCACUACAAAAAAACAACAGAAGUUACAUUGGGUUCCAGGUUGAGGAGUCAUCUGAAUUAGAGGUCUACAGGGAAAAUAAAUGAUGCUUAUAUCCUGUUUAAGAGUGAGGAUUUACGUGCUGCAACCUCGUUGGAUGUUGAAGCAGUUUAUUACACUCAAAGAAUGUGUUGUUUACCAGUUUAUCCACAUUCACAGAUGUGGUUGUGGCACUGGCUUGGGCACCUUUCAUCCUUGGAGCUGCACUCUCAGGACCACCGGAUGAGCUGUGGCCAAUGCAGUGCUGCAAAACCCCUUCCUUCAAGCUUUCUGUCCCAGGCCGGAGGACGAGCCAAAAGCAGCAUCUGAAUUCCUGCCCUGCACCUCUCCUGCCACGUAACAAAUGGUUGUGACAGGGCAGAGUGGAGAUCUCUGCCCUCCAGGCCAAGCCAGGGCUCCUCGGGACGUGACAGCUUUGAUUUGUGUCUGUGCAGGACCCACCGGAGACAAAAGACAGCGUCAAGAGUAAUUGAAUGGACGUGGCAGGCAGACCCAGCAGUGCUCUUAUCAGCUGGGGGAGGCAGAGCAGAUCCGAGGAGCAGAACAGGCCAGGUACCAGGAACCAGAUCUUAGGGUUGCAUUCCUCACAUAAGUGGAAUUUCCCGCGGUCCCCGUUAAGUUCUCUUUUGUAAAUUGAAAAAUCUAAAAUCUGGAAAGAAAAAAAAAAAAAGAGCCUUACUGAAAAAAAAGUAAUUAAUUUCCUGUGCUGUCUUAAUCUAUAAAGUAAUAUAAUAAAAAGAAACCCUCAUCCCAAGCUAGAGGGAGUGUAUUGUUUAAACCUCAAGAGAGGCAAAGUUUAAUUUAAUUUCACAGGUAGCUAUUUUGCAAAGCCUCUAAGGGAGGAAACUCUUCCAAUGCCACCGCUCCAAGAAUUUGGCACAAUAUAAUUUAUAUUGCCAUUGUAGUGAGAGGCUUCGUUGUGUUGUGCACGUGUGGGCACCCCCACGUACCCACAGAAAAACCCUUCUGUGAACUUCUAAUGUAAUGAUGCAAAGGCAACAGGCAAAGUGGAGAAGAAGAGAGGUAGAGGUGGCCAAAGCCUCAGUGAAGGUCUGUGAUGAGCCAAGAGCAGGAUUCCUGGU